rnacentral:rRNA from 1 species
AGAGUUUGAUCCUGGCUCAGAACGAACGCUGGCGGCGUGGAUUAGGCAUGCAAGUCGAACGACUCUUCGGAGUAGUGGCAAAAGGGUGAGUAACACGUGGGUAAUCUACCCUCGGAACUGGGACAACUUGCUGAAAAGCGAGCUAAUACCGGAUAAGACCACUUUUCGCAUGGAAGGUGGCAAAAGGCAGGGACCUCGUAAGAGGCCUGUCAUCUGAGGAUGAGCCCGCGCCCCAUCAGCUUGUUGGUAAGGUAAUGGCUUACCAAGGCAUUUGACGGGUAGCUGGUCUGAGAGGAUGGUCAGUCACACUGGGACUGAGACACUGCCCAGACUCCUACGGGAGGCUGCAGUCGAGAAUCUUUUGCAGUGCGCGAAAGCGUGACAAUGCGACGCCGCGUGAGCGAUGAAGGCCUUCGGGUUGUAAAGCUCUGUCAGGUCGGAAGAAAUGUGAUUAGGAUAAUAUCCUAGUCACUUGACGGUACGACCAAAGGAAGUCACGGCUAACUCCGUGCCAGCAGCCGCGGUAAUACGGAGGUGACUAGCGUUGUUCGGAUUUACUGGGUGUAAAGGGUAUGUAGGUGGCUAGAUAAGUCCCAAUUGAAAUCCUUCGGCUCAACCGAAGAACUGGUUGGGAAACUAUCUGGCUUGAGUUCAGGAGAGGAGAAUGGAAUUCCCGGUGUAAAGGUGAAAUUUGUAGAUAUCGGGAAGAACACCAGUGGCGAAGGCGAUUCUCUGGUCUGAAACUGACACUGAAAUACGAAAGCUAGGGGAGCAAACAGGAUUAGAUACCCUGGUAGUCCUAGCCGUAAACGAUGGGCACUAGGUGUCUGCCUCUUUGAGGUGGGUGCCGGAGUUAACACAUUAAGUGCCCCACCUGGGGACUACGGCCGCAAGGUUGAAACUCAAAGGAAUUGACGGGGACCCGCACAAGCGGUGGAGCAUGUGGUUUAAUACGACGAUACGCGUGGAACCUUACCAGGGCUUGACAUGUACUUGAAAUCCCUAAGAAACUAGGGACCUCCUUUCCAGGACAAGUACACAGGUGUUGCAUGGCUGUCGUCAGCUCGUGUCGUGAGAUGUUGGGUUAAGUCCCGCAACGAGCGCAACCAUCGUUUUUAGUUGCUAACUACGUAAGUAGAGAACUCUAAAGAGACUGCCAGCGUUGAGCUGGAGGAAGGUGGAGAUGACGUCAAGUCAGUAUGGCCCUUACGCCCUGGGCUACACACGUGCUACAAUGGUCAGGACAAAGAGAUGCAAAGCCGCAAGGUCGAGCAAAUCUCAAAAACCAGGUCUCAGUUCGGAUUGAAGGCUGAAAUUCGCCUUCAUGAAGCUGGAAUCGCUAGUAACCGCAGAUCAGCUAUGCUGCGGUGAAUACGUUCCCGGGUCUUGUACACACCGCCCGUCAAGUCACCUGAGUUGAGUGCACCCGAAGCCGCCAUACCAACCGCAAGGGGGAAGGCGUCGAAGGUGUGUUUAGCGAGGAGGACUAAGUCGUAACAAGGUA